ACUAUGGAGAGUACAAGGAAUUAUGAGUAGAUACAUUGUAUUGAAAAAUAUACUCGUUGAAGUAGUAA
rnacentral:sRNA from 12 species